CGCACGGUGUCACAAAGCUCAUUAUUUCCUUUUCUUUGGUGAUUAUGCGUUCAAUAUUCAAGCAGAAUCCUGACUACGUCUUGGUUAAUUUUGUUGUAACCAAAAAUUACAACUAGCCACAGAAUGAUUGACUAUACUUACGGCACACUUGAACAAAAACAUGGUUUUUAGUUAGUGUCUUUCGCAGCAAAUGAUACCCAGAUCUUACGCGCUAAUGACAUAAAGAUCGCACCUCGUCGUUAAGGUGAUGUUGCUUCCGGAAUCAGAUCAAAAGUGGUACUCAAGGCAGUCAGCAGUGCAGGACCAAGGUGUGUGGUUUGCUGUACUAUCACAUGGAUGUGAAGGUUCCUCUUCAUGAUGGUAGUUUCUCAAACUUUCCUUGUUUUUGAUGGGCUUGACAGUUUCGAGGAGUACUGGUCAGAAAAAAAGUUUUCUUAUGAAGAUCUCUCCUUAGGAUCUCACUUUACUUACAAACCAUGAAGAAUAUCUCAAAGAAAAGAAGGAGGACCAUGCGUGCUUAAGGACCCUAGAUGGCCUUCUCUGUAAAGCAUCGACACGUUGCUGUGCAUCUUUGAAGCAAAGAGAUCUACAACCUGCAUGUGGAGCUUUCAGACUCCACAGCCUUCUCUAUGCAUGAGAAGAAAAUUCUUUUUGCUGAACAGAAAUGAGCACGCAGAAUCCAUAAGGAACGUGCUGCCGAUACCAUUUGUUUGAGACAAACAAAACGCAGCUCUAGUUGGUCAGUUACUGGCAAUUUUGCUAAUUGUGGGCUUCCAGGUGAAAAAGAUUAUACAUGAUUGCAGGGAAAUUGUGACUCUGAACAGUACUCUGUCAUCCAAUGCCGUGGAAGCUGCUGUGUGCUCAGGUCUAUGUGGCAUUAACCAUGAGGCACUCAACACGCAAAUCAUGGGCUACAACGGGAAGAGAAAGGAUCUGGAAAUUUGAGCCCAGGGUUGGCCAAGACAAGAGCAGGAACAGCUGGCUGAGUUGGCAAAGCAAAUGAAAAAGGGAAAGAAUAAAAGCAAAGUCCCUCAUGGAUGAUGACACCUCUCUCAAGAAGUACCUGUUGGGGAGAAUGAGUGAAGGUGAUUUGGACGAUGGGUACAUUUUCUGAGAAGCACACAUUGGAAUAGAAAUAUGAACUACCAGAGAAGACCAACUGGAGACAGAGAGAGGAGGUGACAAAAAGGAAUAAAGCUAACUUGUCACAGAAGUUACAGAGAAAGUAAGUUUGUGAGUCAUCAAUGCCGCUGACAAGCUUUUUUUGACGGAUUAAACGGAGGCAGACUUGUAGCUGC